AGAGCGAACGCUGGCGGCAGGCUUAACACAUGCAAGUCGAGCGGAUGUAGCAAUACAUCAGCGGCAGACGGGUGAGUAACACGUGGGAACGUACCUUUUGGUUCGGAACAACACAGGGAAACUUGUGCUAAUACCGGAUAAGCCCUUACGGGGAAAGAUUUAUCGCCGAAAGAUCGGCCCGCGUCUGAUUAGCUAGUUGGUGAGGUGACGGCUCACCAAGGCUACGAUCAGUAGCUGGUCUGAGAGGAUGAUCAGCCUCACUGGGACUGAGACACGGCCCAGACUCCUACGGGAGGCAGCAGUGGGGAAUAUUGGACAAUGGGCGCAAGCCUGAUCCAGCCAUGCCGCGUGGAUGAUGAAGGCCUUAGGGUUGUAAAGUCCUUUCGACGGGGAAGAUAAUGACGGUACCGUAGAAGAAGCCCCGGCUAACUUCGUGCCAGCAGCCGC
rnacentral:rRNA from 1 species